rnacentral:ribozyme from 1 species
UGCCCAGCAACUCCUAUCCCUACCUUGCGGUACCGGCCGGAAACUAUGAGCAACCUUAGGGAAGAUCGGUGGGAACUUUGGUCGUAGGCUGACAGGGAAAG